rnacentral:rRNA from 1 species
CCAGACUCCUACGGGAGGCAGCAGUGGGGAAUAUUGCACAAUGGAGGGAACUCUGAUGCAGCGACGCCGCGUGAGUGAAGAAGUAAUUCGUUAUGUAAAGCUCUAUCAGCAGGGAAGAAAGUGACGGUACCUGAAAAAGAAGCUCCGGCUGAAUACGUGCCAGCAGCCGCGGUAAUACGUAGGGGGCAAGCGUUAUCCGGAUUUACUGGGUGUAAAGGGAGCGUAGACGGCGAUACAAGUCUGAAGUGAAAGCCCGGGGCUCAACCCCGGGACUGCUUUGGAAACUGUGUUGCUGGAGUGCUGGAGAGGCAAGCGGAAUUCCUAGUGUAGCGGUGAAAUGCGUAGAUAUUAGGAAGAACACCAGUGGCGAAGGCGGCUUGCUGGACAGUAACUGACGUUGAGGCUCGAAAGCGUGGGGAGCAAACAGGAUUAGAUACCCUUGUA